ensembl:lncRNA
GGGUAAAAAUGCUUUAUUCUUUCAUCACAGAUUGGAGAGAUGCAGGCUCCUGCUGGGAGCACACGCUCUUGCGGACAGGUGUGGGUCGUGGUGCGCGGACAGGCUGCUUUACAGGAAUCUCGAGGGGGGACGGGGUUCUUGUGAGGCAGGCCCAGGUGUGCAGCCCCGGGCUCCAGACGGCAGUGCCGGGCACAGCGCUCCUGCACACGGCCCGCUGCCCCCACCCUGGAUUGCGGUGUGGUGGGCACGGUCUCUGCACACGGCCCUCCCAGGUGAGGUGUCGGGGCAGCCGUUUUACAAGAGGAACUCUGAUGUCAAGUGGCAGGUGUGAGGCCUCAGCACACAGCACCCGGUGAGCCAGUGAGAGAGACUACACACAAGGAAAAGAAGAAGGUGGUCCACUUGCAUUAGACAAUCCUUAUGGUUCUUCAGGAUUUCUGAACAGAUUUUUCCCCUUAAAUGGUGAAACAUUUCCACCUCUCAGCCAUGUGGGAGUAGAUUAUCUGCUGGCCUGAAUUGCCCUUGGAAUUCCAAGCUCACACCUGGGUAUCCUGGACUAGGGAAUGGACCCAGACCAGCUCGCCUUGGUAAUCUGGAGCAGGAAUAGUCUCAAGAUGGUGGUUCAGAGUGAAUUUAUCAAGGCAAACA